ACACCUCAACUCCUCAUGGUUUGCCGUGAUGAGCUUGGACUUUGGGGGUCUUGCUGGCCUAUGGUUGGCUCCUCUCAAAUGGAUCAGCUUGCCAGUGUUUGGUGGCAUCACGGGUGUGAUAAAUAUCUACGCUUGUGGUUUUCCACCAUGAUGUAACCUUCAGCGAUGGAGGUUUGCUGGAGCUCACAAAUGUCCCUCCUCAGUGAGGACAGCUUUUUGAAC
rnacentral:misc_RNA from 1 species